UACGUAGGGAGCAAGCGUUGUCCGGAUUUAUUGGGCGUAAAGAGCGUGUAGGCGGCCAAGCAGGUCAGCUGUGAAAACUCGAGGCUCAACCUCGAGACGUCGGUUGAAACCGCUUGGCUAGAGUCCGGAAGAGGAGAGUGGAAUUCCCGGUGUAGCGGUGAAAUGCGCAGAUAUCGGGAAGAACACCCGUGGCGAAGGCGGCUCUCUGGGACGGUACUGACGCUGAGACGCGAAAGCGUGGGGAGCGAACAGG
rnacentral:rRNA from 1 species